UUGUGAAUUUUUAUUUUAAUAUUAAAAAGAAACAUGAAAAUUGGUUCUUGUGUCGUUUGUUUUAAUGAAAAUGUUAAAGUUUUUGAUAUUACUGGAACGCAGUUGCAAUAUACUUACGAGCAGAUUUCAAAUUCUACGAUAAAAAAGGUUUCACAUUACUUAUGUAUUAUGUGUUGUACAAGACUAAAACAAUUUGGUAGUUUGUUUAAACAGAUUGGCAAUUAUCAAAAAUACUCACAUGACGGAGAAAAUCAGGUUGAAUGUCAGCCUAUAGUUACUCUGUCAACCCAUGUCAUAGAAAGAGGCUCAAUACCUUACCAUAUUUGUAAAGAAGAAAUCAUCAUAACAAUAAAGAAAGAAAAGAAGGAAG